rnacentral:lncRNA from 1 species
GAACAACAAAAACAUAUGUUUACAGUGCUUACAUUAUGCUACAACAAUUUAUAAGCUUAUCUAAUGGCCUAAACCAAUCAACACAAAUUGAACAUAAAGUUUGGAACAACACUGCCACCAAUCGGAAUGUUAACCGAUGCAACUAAUACUGUAAUUCUCUGAAUCCAAAACCAGAUGAAAACAUAACCAGUGAAAAUUCCAACAAAGUUUUCUUUUUAUGAAUAACGUAAUAACAAAAUGAAAGAAAAUCUGAAAUACAGAGAAGAAAAGGCAAAAGAAUUUUUACGUUAAGGUUUUGUAAAGGAGAUCGGUUUGUUCGACUAUGACGCUUGGUGUGGCCUUGAUACCCGAUUGAAUGCUUCAACCUUCCAGUGUAUACCCAGAUUCUUGAGACUCCAUUUCACCUUCAUCACGGGUUUCCCUUAUUUCAGAUACCUUUGCCCUUGCAAAAAUGGGUUAUUGUUGCUGAGUUCAAAGCGGAAAUGGCGGAACCUGAACCAAUACGAAUCAAAAUCGAAUCAAGGAUCCAUGCAUCUUGUUUGACGAAUCAACAUGAACGAGUUUCGCAGGAUUUGUAUGCGGAUGACAUGUUGAUGAGGCUAAUGAAAAGCAGAGAGGGUUUGUUUCGAGUUUAGUUUGUUGAGUUGUAGAUCGGAAACCGGCAGAGAUGAACGGUGGUUGGAAGUUGCCGUGGCCGAAGACGACGAGAAGAUCUGGGUUAAUGGGUGUUGGAUAGUUGGUGGUUAAGAGGUUC